GUGUACGUGGCUUAGAGAACUAGGAGAAGAGGCCACUGCCUGCCACUGGCUGGAGCCCGGGGCACUGGCUAGCUGUGGUUGGUGGUGGCGACGGAGCAGUAGGAGGGCGACGGGCAGUGGGAGUUUUUCCUGCCAGGCUGGAGGACAAGGAGAAGGGAGAGGCAUUGCCGCAUGUUGGAGGCUGAAGCCUGCGCCACCGAGGCUCCCCUCGCUGGGGUUGGUGGUGACGUCGGACACUACAGCUCAGCUAGAGUGGUAGAAAUGUUGUGGGACUGAAACUAGGCUACUUCACCAUCUUCAAGGCUGUCCAGGUCCUACAAAAAUGAAGUUACUUCUAGCAGUGGUUGGACAUCAAUUGACACAAUGACAUCUACUGAAGAAGACGAAGAGGGUAAUCAGAGAAGAGUGGGCAAGAGCCGUGAGGCAGAGAUUCUUCUGGGGCCACAGCAGUAACCAUCGCGGACAUGAUCUCCUGCUUCCCUUGCCUAUCCUGCCCAGGUGGGGAUGAUUGACAUUGAGUGCCAUACGUAAAAGUUGAGUGGGCAUCAGUGAGAGGGAAUUUAUGACAAACAGCAGGUGUGUUAAAGUCAGGAUUUCAUACUUGCUGAUGAUUUGGCAUGAACUAUCUUCCUUAAGCCUUCUCGUUUGUAGAAAUAAUUUUUACUUUUAUUUUCAUCUUUCCUGACACCUUAGGAAAG
rnacentral:lncRNA from 10 species